AGUCGUAACAAGGUUUCCGUAGGUGAACCUGCGGAAGGAUCAUUAAGAACCCCACAUUUCUUCUCUCUGAGCUUUGGCUCUGUUGGGAAGUCUUAAACCCAUUGUGCACUAUAAAAACCUUUCAGCUUCGGUAGCUUGCCGGUCCGGCCUGUUAGUUCAGACCUGGGUCCGCGCAGUCAGCCUACCGGUAGCAAUUAGAAUCAACCCUUUUUAAAACAAAACUUGUCUGAAUUCAAUAUUUUCGAAUGAAAAAUUUAAAACUUUCAACAACGGAUCUCUUGGUUCUCGCAUCGAUGAAGAACGCAGCGAAACGCGAUAGUUAAUGUGAAUUGCAGAAUUCAGUGAAUCAUCGAGUCUUUGAACGCACAUUGCGCCCAUUGGUAUUCCGAUGGGCAUGUCUGUUUGAGCGUCAUUACAACAUCUCGUUCAGGAAUUUUUAUUGUUCCCGAAUGGUUUUGGGCAGGAACUUAGGUAGCUGCUCUGCAGUGUUUCCAAACCGUCCCGGCUCUAAAUUUGCACGCUCUGCAGGUGACCUCACCAAAUCAAACAUAGUAAAUCUUUGCUGUUUUCUUUGGUUCCGGUCCACCUAGCCUGAACAAAUUCAUUUUUAUAUGGUUUGACCUCAGAUCAGACAAGGAUACCCGCUGAACUUAAGCAUAUCAAUAAGCGGAGGAAAAGAAACCAACAGGGAUUGCCUCAGUAACGGCGAGUGAAGCGGCAACAGCUCAAAUUUGAAAUCUGGAGUUUUCAGCUUCCGAGUUGUAAUUUGAAGAGGAUGCUUCGGUUGUAGCCUUGGCCUAAGUUCCUUGGAACAGGAUGUCGUAGAGGGUGAGAAUCCCGUACACGGCUGCAGGCUUACUUCCAUGUGUAGCUCCUUCGAAGAGUCGAGUUGUUUGGGAAUGCAGCUCAAAAUGGGUGGUAAAUUUCAUCUAAAGCUAAAUACUGGCGAGAGACCGAUAGCGCACAAGUAGAGUGAUCGAAAGAUGAAAAGCACUUUGAAAAGAGAGUUAAACAGUACGUGAAAUUGUUGAAAGGGAAGCGCUUGCAAUCAGACUUGCUCGCGGUUGAUCAUCGUUCCUUUUGGUUCGUGCACUCUGCCGUUUGCAGGCCAGCAUCGGUUGGUACGGUGGGACAAAGACUCUGGGAAUGUGGCUCUCUUCGGAGAGUGUUAUAGCCCUGUGUGUAAUGCCACCUUCUCCGACCGAGGACCGCGCUUUAUGCUAGGAUGCUGGCUUAAUGGUUGUAAGCGACC
rnacentral:rRNA from 1 species